CAAAGGUUUGGUCCUGGCCUUUCUAUUAGUUCUUAGCAGCCUUACACAUGCAAGCAUCCGCAUCCCAGUGAGAAUGCCCUUCAAAUCANUAAAGACCAAGAGGAGCAGGCAUCAAGCACACUAUAUUAGUAGCUCAUAACGCCUUGCUUAGCCACACCCCCACGGGAGACAGCAGUGACAAAAAUUAGGCUAUGAACGAAAGUUUGACCUAGCCAUGCUAAUUAGGGUUGGUAAAUUUCGUGCCAGCCACCGCGGUCAUACGAUUGACCCAAGUUAAUAGACACCCGGCGUAAAGAGUGUCGAGGAGUAACAUNAAAAUAAAGUCAAAUCUUAGUUAAGCUGUAAAAAGCCAUAACUAAACCUAAGCUAAACCACGAAAGUAACUUUAUCACAAACCGAGUACACGACAACUAAGACCCAAACUGGGAUUAGAUACCCCACUAUGCCUAGUCGUAAANCCUAAAUAGUCCNUAAAACAAGACUAUUCGCCAGAGUACUAUCGGCAACAGCCCAAAACUCAAAGGACUUGGCGGUGCUUCAUAUCCUUCUAGAGGAGCCUGUUCUGUAAACGAUAAACCACGAUCAACCUCACCAACCCUUGCUACUUCAGUCUAUAUACCGCCAUCUUCAGCAAACCCUANAAAAGGAACGAAAGUAAGCACAACUAUCACACAUAAAAACGUUAGGUCAAGGUGUAACCUAUGGGUUGGGAAGAAAUGGGCUACAUUUUCUACACAACAAGAACANCCCCUUNAAACUUACACGAAAGUCUUUAUGAAACCUAAAGACUAAAGGAGGAUUUAGCAGUAAAUUAAGAAUAGAAUGCUUAAUUGAAUAAGGCCAUGAAGCACGCACACACCGCCCGUCACCCUCCUCAAGUAUCACAGCAGAGCCUUAGAUUACUAAUCCCUGCUAAGCAAGCAUACAAGAGGAGACAAGUCGUAACAAGGUAAGCAUACCGGAAGGUGUGCUUGGAUAAAA
rnacentral:ncRNA from 1 species